ACGCGAGAACCUGCCGUAUACUGGGGGAUAACACUUAGAAAUAGGUGCUAAUACCGCAUAAGCGCACAGCUUCGCAUGAAGCGGUGUGAAAAACUCUGGUGGUAUACGAUGGUUCCGCGUCUGAUUAGCUAGUUGGUGGGGUAAUGGCCUACCAAGGCAACGAUCAGUAGCCGGCCUGAGAGGGUGAACGGCCACAUUGGGACUGAGACACGGCCCAAACUCCUACGGGAGGCAGCAG
rnacentral:rRNA from 1 species